CAAUUUCAUUACUAUGUAGCGUUCAUCUCUCUGUAACAACUCUUUCUCUCUCUUCAAUUUCAAUUUUCUGUAAUUUCUGUAACCUAACCUAAUUUUGAACUUUUCUCCGACUGUCUAUAUCACCACUCUCACAUUUCUUCAUAGAUCACUACAACACUUUUUUCACACUCUUUCUGGAGCCGCGAUUCUUUACAUCCAUAGCCACCGUAAAACUCGAAUCUUUCUCCCUUAUUCGCUCUUCCCAACACCCACCUAUAGUCGCUUCCUCCCUGUCUUUCCGCCCGAUCACUGCUAGUUUUCCUCCCUACACCGGCCUCAAGCAACGACCACUCGAUGUCACUAGUUUGCAGAGUCAGUUCGCUUCGAGAGUCGGUCCUCGCGGCGGAAGAGUCAUGUGCGAGGCUCGAGAUACUGUUGCUGUUGAAGAUAUGCAAAAUAUACAAUCACAUCUCUGGAGAAAAUGUACAAACCCAAACUUUUUGUGGAGCUUGAUAUUGGGAUAAAAGAUGGUAUUAAAAGAAAAGAGAGGCCGACUGAUAAAGCACUCAGUGAUUGGCUUGGUAUCACACGAUAAUCUUGAAGCAAAAGCAUCGUCAUUGUUAUGUUCUAGUACUAAUGAUUCUAUUGACUUACCUCCUGGGUUUGAAAGUAGUCAUUUCCUAAACAAAUCCAAGGUUGAAUUCUCCCACAUGCCAAAGAUAAAAUGGGAAUGCCCUCAACCGGUAACUCUCUACUGCAUGCUAUUUAGUCUCUUUGACUCUUUGUUAUUAAUAUCAUAUUUCACAUUGUAAUUUUUUUGUCAAUAUAUAUGUUUCAUAACUUAUAAAGAUAUUAUUAUAGUCCUUGACUUAAAAAACAAGCUAAGGAGUUGAGAGAGAGGAAGGGAGGUCGUAAUCUUUUGGAAAAUCUUAACAAAAGGGAAAGACAAAUUAGGGAAAUCGAAGCAUCAUUUGAAGUAGCCAAGUCACGCCCUGUUCACGCAACUAAAAAAGAUUUGUAUCCUGUUGAGUUCAUGCCAUUGGUGCAUGAUUUGAAAGGUAUCGCUCCAUAUUAUAUAUCCUUGAUUAUUCAAAUUAUUACUUACCUUGGUGUGUUCUAUUUCUAUUGA